rnacentral:rRNA from 1 species
GGGUUGUGAGGUUAAGCGACUAAGCGUACACGGUGGAUGCCCUGGCAGUCAGAGGCGAUGAAGGGCGUGCUAAUCUGCGAUAAGCGCCGGUAAGGUGAUAUGAACCGUUAUAACCGGCGAUACCCGAAUGGGGAAACCCAGUGUGAUUCGUCACACUAUCAUUAACUGAAUCCAUAGGUUAAUGAGGCGAACCGGGGGAACUGAAACAUCUAAGUACCCCGAGGAAAAGAAAUCAACCGAGAUUCCCCCAGUAGCGGCGAGCGAACGGGGAGGAGCCCAGAGCCUGAAUCAGCAUGUGUGUUAGUGGAAGCGUCUGGAAAGGCGCGCGAUACAGGGUGACAGCCCCGUACACAAAAGCGCAUGUGCUGUGAGCUCGAUGAGUAGGGCGGGACACGUGGUAUCCUGUCUGAAUAUGGGGGGACCAUCCUCCAAGGCUAAAUACUCCUGACUGACCGAUAGUGAACCAGUACCGUGAGGGAAAGGCGAAAAGAACCCCGGCGAGGGGAGUGAAAAAGAACCUGAAACCGUGUACGUACAAGCAGUGGGAGCCCCACCACUAAGCCAGUGGUGAACUCCACAUACGCAUCCUUUGCUGAGGAUACGGUUAACGGAGCGAAAGCGAUGUUCAACCGCAAAACAAGCAGAGGGGGC